CGACCCCAGGAUGGGCGGGAUGACCCGC
rnacentral:rRNA from 2 species